rnacentral:rRNA from 1 species
ACUACGGGUGGCUGCAGUGGGGGAUAUUGCACAAUGGGGGGAACCCUGAUGCAGCGACGCCGCGUGGGUGAAGAAGCGCCUCGGCGCGUAAAGCCCUGUCAGCAGGGAAGAAAAUGACGGUACCUGAAGAAGAAGCCCCGGCUAACUACGUGCCAGCAGCCGCGGUAAUACGUAGGGGGCAAGCGUUAUCCGGAUUUACUGGGUGUAAAGGGGGCGCAGACGGCGAUGCAAGCCAGGAGUGAAAGCCCGGGGCCCAACCCCGGGACUGCUCUUGGAACUGCGUGGCUGGAGUGCAGGAGGGGCAGGCGGAAUUCCUGGUGUAGCGGUGAAAUGCGUAGAUAUCAGGAGGAACACCGGUGGCGAAGGCGGCCUGCUGGACUGCAACUGACGUUGAGGCCCGAAAGCGUGGGGAGCAAACAGGAUUAGAUACCCGGGUAGUC